rnacentral:lncRNA from 1 species
UUGCACAACAAGCCGUGCAACGAGGAGCAUAUUCGACAAUCACGGAAGGUCAUCAAUUUGCUGAUUAAGGACGUGAAGGACCUUCAUCUGCUGAUGGUCACAGGUGCCGUAAAUGCAAAGGAGGCUUGGGAUGCCUUGGGCUCGAUGUUCACUGCAAACAACAACGCCCGCAAGGUGGCUCUACGCCAAGAAUUCAGCCAUGUUAAGAUGGUCGACGGCGAGCCACUUCCGAAGUACUUUGCGUGUGCGAGGCAGCUUCAAAUUGACUUAUUGGGAGUCGGCCACAUGAUUAGUGACUCCGAGCUGGCAUAUAUUGUACUUGUUGGUCUACCCAGUCGGUACAGCGUGGUUAGCAUCAUGGUUAUGAUGGCGAUUUGGACAUGGCGAGCAUCACCUCAAAGCUUCUGGCUAUCGAGACGGCUAACGGUGGGUAGGGCAAGCCUACCGAGCUGACAGCUUUUGUGACUGUCGGCAGUUCGAUGUUCUGUGUUUCGAGUUUUGGUUAUGGCAGCCAGGGGCCGGCUAGCAACAGCUUGGGAAACAGUCGGAAGCAGAUCGUCUGCUACUACUGCAACAAGGCUGGGCACGCAUCAAGGACUGCAGGCAGCUUAAAGUGCUGAAGCAGUUGUCCAUUUCCGGCAAUAGUAAAAGUAAGGGUGGUGGCAGCAGUGGCGGCAGUGGUGCUAGCAGCAGUAAGUCUGGUUCAGGAGGAUCAGCCAGGGGACCAGGAGUCCCAAGGCAGGUCACAUUCAUGGCUUACAAUGGUGAGCGUCCGAAGGGAUGGUUUCUGGACUCAGCAUCAACACAUCACAUCACCUACCACUGCUCUGAGUUGCUUAACAUGCACUUGUUGGAGCUGUGGGAGUGCUUCAACAUCAUGGGCAUCAAGGGUCAAGCUUUGCAUCCAACGGUGGUCGGCUCACUCAUUAUUUGGUCAAACAUCAACUACAAAAAGGCCAUUUUUUUCAAGAAGGACUACAUCAACGAGGAGUCAAGGUCUUGUCAGUUCACAUCAUCGAUGAUCAUGGUGGUAGUGUUGUCUUCAGUGGCAGACGUGUUGUACACCUUAACCUAUAGGCACCGUGAUCAUUGUGUUGAGGUAAUGGUCCUCUCCCAACUCGUGUGGUUGUCGACCAGGGGAUUUGGCCCCGGGUCUGUGACUGACUAUUGGGGGAGACUUACCCCAGAACUUUAUGGGACUACCGAUGCAUAUCCGGUAGCUAAGUGAUAGACAUUUGGCCAGGGCAACCGCCUGGGUAUGCAUCCAGAUAGUGUUGUCGCAGCAUAGGUAUAUUGCGCAGCUGUUGGAGCGUCAUAGGAUGAUUGACGCCAAGCCGAGGUCUACCCCUUUGCCUCCGGGCUUUAGGUACACUCCUAAGGGGGACGGAGAGGAGCUGCUGGGCAAUCCCACCGAGUAUAGGGCUUUGGUGGGAGAAUUGAACUAUCUGGCGACGAACACGCGGCCUGACAUUUCAUAUGCAUUGAGCGUUUUGUCCCGGCAUAUGGCCGCACCCACGAAGACUGCCAUGAACUUAGCAACUGGCGUUCUGCGUUACCUGGCGGGGACUCGCGAACUAGGAUUGCGUUUUGGGGGUGUUGGCGACGUUGCUAUGUCCGGGUACAGUGAUUCUGACUGGGCAGGAGACCCAGUUACGCGGCGUUCUACGUCCGGUUACGUAUUCACUCUUAAUGGGGCUGCGAUUAGCUGGAGCAGCCAACUUCAACGUACUGUGGCGGCUUCGUCGGUGGAGGCUGAGUACCAAGCUACAGCGGCGGCUGUUCGUGAGGCUUUGUGGCUUCGCAAGCUGAUGGUUGAUUUGAGCUUGCCUGAGAGCGCGGUGAAAAUCCAGAUAGACUCCCAGGGGGCGCUUAGCUUGGGAAACAACCCGAUUACGUCUGCUCGGUCGAAGCACAUCGACGUGCAGCAUCACAUAGUGCGUGAGAGGGUGAAUAGCGGUGAGGUGCAGUUGGAAUAUUGCCCUACGGAGUGGAUGGUUGCGGAUGUACUAACGAAGGCUCUGGGCGAGGUGAAGUUCAAACGUUGCCAAGAUGCUAUGGGCCUUGUGUGAAGUGUGCAGGUGAACUUGGUACUCGUUGGGAUACGGCCCGAGGGGGCGUGUUGAGGAAACGGUCCUCUCCCAACUCGUGUGGUUGUCGACCAGGGGAUUUGACCCCGGGUCUGCGCCUGACUAAUGGGGAAGACUUACCCCAGAACCUUAUAGGGCUACCGAUGCAUAUCCGGUAGCUAAGUGAUAGACAUUAGGGCACCGUCUGGACGGCGCAGUGAGAUCGCGGAAUGUACGUGCAGUUAGAUCGCGGAAUGUAUGAGUUUUCCGCUAGCGCCGGUAUUUAGGGCGGUGACAGCGCCUAUUAGUUUAUCUCACAACGAUCGGUAUUCCUACCAGGAAUCUCCUCAAGUCCUGCCGAACGCUUAUAAUACUCUUUACAUAACUUGUAACGUUUUAUCGUGCUAAAUAUCUUCGCCGCCGGCAAUUCUUCCGAGAUAACAAUCAGCGUUAGCCGUCACCGUCGCCAAUUCUCCAAUAAACACGACCAGUGACAGUGCGACCAGGUUCGUUUCGCUACCAUUCGCCAGGGCGUUUACACUCUCUAACUGGGUACCUAGUUCCCGCCAUUUCCACAUCAGGCUGAUUGAUUCCUUGCCCGUUCGCACUGCUGGAAGGUCCAGCCCCAGCCGGCGCCCCCUCGCCACCCAAAUAAGGCGAUCCUUCGCCGACAGUAUUGCCUGAUGUUCCUUCGCCAGCCCUAGGCAGCGACCCCUCACCAGGCAAGUUAGUGUGAACAUCCUCCUCCUCAUCGGCAUCGGACCCAUAAUCGGAGUCCCCGGCAUCAUGCCGCCGGCCGACAUUAGACUCAUCAAAGCGGACGUUAGAAACUACGGCAAUAAUGCCAUCCUCGUACAGCACACGGUACUGUCCUCCGUUCCCGUAUCCGACAAGUAUUCCACGCCUGCUCACCGGAUCGGACUUGUCGCGUUUGACGUCAGGUACAUGGACGUAGGCGACGCACCCCAAAAACUCGAAGAUGACCGACGUUAGGACGGACGUUGAAGAAAGCUUCAUACGGCGUGACAGUUGACCCAGCAGUUGGCGACACAUUCCUGAUGUAAUUGGCUGUCGCCAACACUUCCGCCCAUAAUGACUUAGGUAGACCGGACUCCACAAGCAUAGCCUUGGUUUUGUCUAGGAGAGUGCGAUUCAAACGUUCCGCAGCUCCGUUCUGCUCAGGGGUGUAGCCUACCGUAGUUCCGUGUACAAUACCCCUGGACGCGAAAAAGCCCUUCGUGCGAGUAUUAAUGAACUCCCCGCCACGAUCCGUACGCACCUCCUUAACCUGCCUGCCAGAAGCGCGCUCCAGUUCCGCUAUCAUUACCACCAUCUUCUGAUAGACCUCCUCCUUGGUUGCUGUAAACGCAACAGCUGAAAGACCAGUAUGGUCGUCAAGCAGAGUUGUCACGCAACGUGAACCACGAGGCGAAGGUUUUGGCAUAGUCCACACACAUCCAGUCCACACACAUCCAUGUGGAUUAAUGCUAGUGGCUGUGCUGCUUUAUGCCCUGUUAGCGGAAAAGGACCACGUGUAUGCUUUGCAAGAACGCAAGUCUCACACACACACGCGCUGGCUGAUUGUAUGCUGUGUCGGUCAAUAUCGAACCCAGUUACCAUAUUAUGACGCAGCAACGCCUCAAGGUUGCUGUAUCCCAAGUUGCCAUACCGUCGGUGCCAAAGUGCUGCACGUUCAGCUCCGAUACCCACGGCAGCACACACUGCAUCACCACCAGAAGGUAUCCUGUUGAUGUUGAUGUUGUUACAGGGUGGUUAAGCUUCACCAGUGGCCUCCUUCCCGAGGCAAUUCCCUGCUCUCCCCUGCAAGAGGGGCACCCAAAGCCAUUCACCCCAUCCGACUUCAGAGUGUACUCUUUGAGUUUGGCAACUCACCACCAGCAUCCAACCAAACCUAGCGGAUCAACGGCGUGUCAACUUAGUUCCUGGUCAGCUCGCGAGUUGAUUUUAUCACGUCCUAUACCGUCCACAAGAUGGGGGGCCACCUCCCAUUUCAUCACCUCUCAAACACCCCGAGAGGUCGGCAGGCGGAUUUGAACCCGGACGCGCCGGGACGUGACGGGAGCAGAAGCCAGACCUUAACCUCUGCCAGCCGCCUGCCUGAUGUUGUAUGCUACGAACGCUACCUGACGCGGAACACCUUGCCCCCUAGCUGAUUCACCGGAUCCUGGCUUGCUGCCGCUAGCUACGCUGCCACUAGCUCCGUUGCCACUGUUGCUGUAGCCACCCUUAUAUCCAGAUUUUGACGACUGCUUGAGCGCUUUAAGCUGCCUGCAGUCCUUUACCACGUGCCCAUGUUGAGGAAACGGUCUUCUCCCAACUCGUGUGGUUGUCGACCAGGGGAUUUGACCCCAGGUCUGUGCCUGACUAAUGGGGAAGACUUACCCCCAGAACUUUAAAGGGCUACCGAUGCAUAUCCGGUAGCUAAGUAAUAGACAUUUGGGCACCGUCAGGACGGCGCAGAGAGAUCGCGGAAUGUACGUGCAGUUAGAUCGCGGAAUGUACGAGUUUUCCGAUAGCGCCGGUAUUUAGGGCGGUGACUGCGCUUAUUUGUUUAUCUCACAACGAUCGGUAUUCCUCAAAGGAAUCUCCUCAAGUCCUGCCUAACGCAAUUUACAGUUUUUUACAUUACUUGAAAUGUUACAGAGUGGGAGGCUUCUGGGCCGCUUUACCACAUUGUCAGUUCUACGAUCAUUUAUCACCUUAUAGCACCAUCCACCACUACCACACUGUCUUCGCCAUACGAACUGUAAGUCCAAGGCGGCGGAUCCAGCCUUCAGAGACCCGUCCUCAUCCAUUCACCCGGAGGGUUCGGCAAUCGCCACCAAUCCAGCGUGCGAAUCUGGUCCAUCAACUGUGACCUCAACUCCACAUCUCAGCAGCUAGCCAUAAUCUCGCGCUCCCGACAAAUUCGGGGAUCUCCCCAGGAAUCGAACCCUAAGAUAUUGAACACGAUAAACUGAUACAAGUAAUGUAAGAAGUAGUAUUAUGCGUUAGGCAGGACUUUAGGAGAUUCCUUUGAGGAAUACCGAUCGUUGUGAGAUAAACAAAUAAGCAAACAUCUAUGUGAACUAGUGCUAGUGGCUGAGCUGCUUUGUGUCCUGUUAACGGAAAAGGACCUCGUGUCUGUUUUGCAUAAACGCAGGUCUCACAAACACCCGUGCUGGCUUUUUGGAAACUGUGCUGGUCGACGUCAAAUCCCAUUACCAUAUUGUGCGCAGCAACACCUCGAGGUUGCUGUAGCCAAGAUGUCCGUAACACCGAUGCCAAAGUGUUGCACGCUCCGUCUUGGAAUUCACAGCGGUGCACGUUGUACCAUGUCCGUUGUCACAGUAGCUCGUAUUCUGCGUCCUCCUGAUGGUGCCUGUACUUCCACCUCGAUAGCAAAUGGGGUAGAGAUCACCGUCCCGUUCACCGGUCAACACUAAAUGAUUUUGCAAGUAUACCUGUACUUGACCGUCACCGAAGACGACGCUACCUCCGCGAUCGUCGAUGAUACGGACGGACAAAAUCUUUACCAUCGCCUCCUCGUCAACGUAGACCCUUUUAAAUGUGAUGGCUUGAUUGUCGUUGACAUUAGAUCGAAUGGUAAGCGAUCCAACCUCCGUCGGACGCAGUGAUUGACCCUUAAUGCCCACAAUGCUGAAGCGUUCCCAAGGCCCCAACACACGUGCAUUGUGUAGUUCGGAUCGGUCGUAAGUGACGGGGUGAGUAGAUGCUGAGUCCAGAAACCAUUCCGUCGGACGCUCGCUGUUGUAUGCCACGAACGCUACCUGCCGCGGAACUCCUGGCCCCCUAGCUGAUCCACCGGAUCCUGGAUUGCUGCCGCUAGCUCCGCUGCCACUGUUGUUGUAGCCACCCUUAUUGACGACUGCUUGAGCGCUUUAAGCUGCCUGCCGUCCUUUACCACUUGCCCAGGCUUAUUACAGUAGUAGCAGAUGAGUUGUUUCCGACUGUGUCCCGAGCUGCUGCUAGCCGGCCCCCGGCUGCCAUAACCAGAAUUAGAAGCGCCGAAAGUCGAACCGCCGAGAGACGUGAAGGCUGCCGACUCGGUAGGCUUGUCCGACCUACCGUUAGCCGUCUCGAUAGCGAGAAGCUUUGCUGUGACGCUCGCCAUGUCCAAAUCGCCGUCACGCAUCAGUAGUGUUGUCGUCACCACGCUGUACCGAUUGGGUAGACCAACUAAGACGGUAUACGCCAGCUCGGAGUCGUUGAUUACGUGGCCGAAACCCAACAAGUCCGUUUGCAGCUGCCUCGCACGUGCAUAUACUUCGAAAGUGGCUCACAGUCAACCAUCUUGAAGCGGCUGAAUUCUUGGCGUAGAGCCACCUUGCGGGCGUUGUUGUUGGCAGCGAACAUCAAGUUCAAGGCAUCCCAAGUCUUCGCGUUGGCUGCACCGGUGACCAUCGGCAAAUGGUGAUCCUUAACGUUCUUGAUAAGCAGAUUGAUGACCUUCCGUGAUUGAUGAAUCUGCUCCUCGUUGCACGGCUCGGCGAGCAAAGACUGCUCAAGCCGAAGCUCCAUGCACAUCGCACUAAACCGUCGGUGUUACGGACAUUUGGGCUACAGCAACCUCGAGGCGUUGCUGCACCACAAUAUGGUAAUGGGAUUUGACGUCGUCCAGCACAGCUUUCAGAAAGCGAGUACGUGUGUUUGUGAGACCUGCGUUUUUGCAAAACAGACACGAGGUCCUUUUCCGCUGACAGGGCACAAGGCAGCCCAGCCACUAGCAUUAGUUCACAUGGAUGCGUGUGGACCUAUGCCUGAACCUUCGCCUAGUGGUUCUCGCUACGUGACAACUCUGCUUGACGUCCAUACCGGUCUUUCAGCAGUUGCGUUUACAGCGACCAAGGAGGAGGUCUAUCUGAAGAUGGUGGUAAUGAUAGCGGACCUGGAGCGCGCUUCUGGCAGGCAGGUUAAGGAGGUUCGUACGGAUCGUGGCGGGGAGUUCAUUAAUACUCGCACGAAGGGCUAUUUCGCGUCCAGGGGUAUUGUUCAUGGAACUACGGUAGGCUACACCCCUGAGCAGAACGGAGCAGCGGAACGUUUGAAUCGCAAGACACAAGUUAUGCAAGUCUUGGUAUCUCAUCUUAGGAUGGAUCGGUAUUCCUUAACAGGAAUCUCCUAAAGUCUUCUUUCCGUUCACCAUUAACCCACAGACUUUAACCCUUAUGUCGCGACCAGUCUCCUUGCGUUCAUAUUCUUAACAGGGAUCGCUGCCUAGGGCUGGCGAAGGGAUACCAGGUAGCACCGUCCGCGAGGGAUCGCCGCACUUGGGUGGCGAGGGGGCGCCGGCUGGGGCUGAACCAUCCAGCAGUGUAUUGAAGAAUCGACUGCGGUGGCAGCUGGCGGCGACUGUUAUUUCGGAAAGGAAUACCGGCGUGUUCGUCGCCAGAUAGUUCAAUCCUCCCACCAAAGCCCUAUACUCCGUGGGAUUGCCCAGCAGCUCCUCUCCGUCCCCCUUAGGAGUGUACCUAAAGCCCGGAGGGUAGAUCUCGGCUUGGCGUCAACCAUCCUAUGACGCUCCAACAGCUGCUCAAUGUACCUAUGCUGCGACAACACUAACUCACCCGACUUCUCCCUCCUAAUCUCCAUGCCCCCAAACACCUUCGCUUCUCCAAGGUCACGCACCCUUAAGACCUUCACAAUUGCGGCUUUAAUUUCCCGGACCAUUUCCGGGUCUUCUGACGCAACAAUGGGGUCAUCUACGUGCACCAAAGCAAUCCCCACGCUCGUCCAUAAUAAUGAACAUCGCCGGAUCAGACUUCGAAGGAUAAAGACCCAGCUUGGCGAACUCUGCUGAUAUCUUUUCAUACCAGCAACGGGGUGCCUGCUUCAAACCGUAAAUAGACCUCUGCAGCUUGCACGCAAGCGACCGGUCACUGGAUACAUACCCAGGUGGUUGCUGUAUCCACAACUCCUCCUUCAACUCGCUGUUCAAAAAUGCAGUAGACACAUCGAGCUGGUGUACCGUCAUGUUCCGCGCUGCGGCAACUGCUAAUAAAGCACGUAAUGACGAACCGAGGUAGGGGCAAACAACUCCCCAUAAUCAAUCCCCUCGCGUUGCUCGAAACCCUUCGCAACCAAUCGCGCCUUAAAACGCUCCACGCUGCCGUCAUCGUUGUACUUAACCUUAUACACCCAACGACACGGCAAUAAAUGAGUACCAGGAGGUGGCGUCUUCAGCUCCCAAGUACUGUUAGCCAUCUGGGCGGCGAUCUCCUCGUCCAUCGCACGCCGCCAAUCGUCUGCAUGAAGACUUGCAAUGGCUUCCGCAAACGAAUUCGGUUCAGGAAUAACAGCAGAGAAAGUAGCAUUAACGACCAGUAACAGUGCGACCAGGUUCCGCCACCAUUCGCCAGGGCGUUUACGUUCUCUAACUGGAUACCUAGUUCCCGCCAUUUCCACAUCAGGCUAAUUACUUCCUUGCCCGUUCGCACUGCUGGAAGGUCCAGCCCCAGCCGGCGCCCCCUCGCCACCCAAAUGCGGCGAUCCCUCGCCGACAGUAUUGCCUGAUGUUGUUGAGGAAACGGUCCUCUCCCAACUCGUGUGGUUGUCGACCAGGGGAUUUGACCCCGGGUCUGCGCCUGACUAAUGGGGAAGACUUACCCCAGAACCUUAUAGGGCUACCGAUGCAUAUCCGGUAGCUAAGUGAUAGACAUUAGGGCACCGUCUGGACGGCGCAGUGAGAUCGCGGAAUGUACGUGCAGUUAGAUCGCGGAAUGUACGAGUUUUCCGCUAGCGCCGGUAUUUAGGGCGGUGACAGCGCCUAUUAGUUUAUCUCACAACGAUCGGUAUUCCUACCAGGAAUCUCCUCAAGUCCUGCCGAACGCUAACAAUAUUCUUUACAUUACUUGUAACAGUUUAUCGUGCUAAAUAUCUUCGCCACCGGCCCUCCCCCCCCUCCCGGAGUGCCUAUGCCCCGGAGUGGAAGUUGGCUAACGAACUACGGCGAGGCCAGGAACACCAAUUGAGUUAAUUAUUGCUUUUCUUUAUAGCUUAAAUUUUGCACAAAGCGGUCAUACUUUGGUAGAUGGAAACUGCGACUGCCGGACAGAGGUCACACAUUUACAUAAUGCCAAAUGAACGGACUACAGAAACUGCAUAGCUAAAGAAAAGUUAUUGCUUUAACUAGUUUAGCAAAGAGCUUAACUAGUUUAGCAAGAGCGCGGGCACCUCCGAUUUCGACCUCAGGUUGGCCGAUGAUGAUGACAGGACUUCUCGCUUUGUACCCAUCCAAAAGCACCGAAACGCAUAGGAUUGUUGUGGAAUCUAGCACAUGCAAG